rnacentral:lncRNA from 1 species
AUGCUCGGCCCAGCCCCACUGGGGAAGCAGGCCUGGCGGGCUGACAUCAGUGGUCCCAGGGUCCCUCUCAGCCCACAGGUGCUCCCCCUCAGGGUCGGGGGCCCCACAACUCCUUCUGGAGCGUCUGCUCUGGGCCAGGCCCUUACAUUCACCACAAAGACCAGCACAGCCAUCCAGUCAAGAGCAGGGAAACCACCUGCCAAGGUCACAUGCAAGGUCACCCAAGGUCACAGGGCCAGGUGGUCCUCGCAGGGAAGAGCCCAGCAGAGUCACAUUCCCAGACUCACGCUCAGGGGUCCCCACCACAUGGGCCGGGGUCUACAGAUGGACCUCAGGGCAAACAGCCCUCCCCAGCCUGGGCAGCUCAGGGCACUUGCUCGCCUCUUCAGGCCAGGGGCCCACAAGGGACAGCCGUCCACUGGGCUCCAAAAAUACUUGCUCCUUCACCUGGGCCACCCCACCCAGCCUGAGCCCCGAGGCUCAGCUGUAAUCUGUACCCCACAGAAUAGACAGAACUGGCGAGGCCAGGGUGAGGGGUCACGAGGGCAGGGUGAGGGGUCACAUGGUCAGCAGAAAGCACAGGGAGGCAGGGGGUACUUCCCAGCCAGGCAGGGCCCAAAGCCCACCCCAGCUUUCAGACUGCAUUCUCAGAGAAGGAUGGGGUGGGGAGGACGGGAUGACACGCUUGGAAGGCAGGUGGCUGCGGUGCUUGCAGGGCUGAGCACGGCCCUGCACUCAUGCUCUCGCCGGGGCUGCUGUGGGCAGCUCUGUGCCCAGAGCAUCCUCCCGCUCACUAACUCAGCACCACAGAGGGGUCCCGGCUUCCUGCCUACCUCCCGAGGCCACAGGAAGGGCCCUGCAGGAGUGUGUGUGUCCACAGGUGCACAACCUGGGCAGACGGCUCUGACAGGCACUUCCAAGGCCCCCAGGAUGGAGCCCCAACUUCCUGCUUCACCAUUUGACCCCUGGAUGCCCCCUACAACAAGCGUUCUGCUCCCCAGCCCUUCCCAGGCUCUGUUUUGGAGGCCCAGCACCCCACUAUACAGCCACAUCUUCCUUAGGGGGGCCUGUUCUCCCCAUUUCUGUCUAGAGCUUCCAGGGAAAUUCACAACAGAUGGGGGACAAGGGGGCUGA